UACGGAGGGGGGCUAGCGUUGUUCGGAAUUACUGGGCGUAAAAGCGCACGUAGGCGGCUUUGUAAGUUAGAGGUGAAAGCCCGGGGCUCAACUCCGGAAUUGCCUUUAAGACUGCAUCGCUAGAAUUGUGGAGAGGUGAGUGGAAUUCCGAGUGUAGAGGUGAAAUUCGUAGAUAUUCGGAAGAACACCAGUGGCGAAGGCGGCUCACUGGCUCGAUACUGACGCUGAGGUGCGAAAGCGUGGGGAGCAAACAGG
rnacentral:rRNA from 1 species